CUUUUGAUGGGAGCAUUGAGUCCAUUGAUGAUUUGAGUGAGUACUGAAAGAUAUGAAUCUAUUAUUAUGAUGCUUGUAGAGUUGGAGUUUCUGGUGGUGAUAUCUGGUCCUUUCUAAUCUUUGUUGCUUUUCUUAUUUAUUUAUUUAUUUAUUUAUUUAUUUAUUUAUUUAUAUUUUCAUCUUUUCUCCCCUCAGAGAGUCCCCCUUAACAUUUCUUUCAGGGCUGGUUUAGUGGUCACAAACUCCUUUAAUUUUUGUUUGUCUGGGAAACUUUUUAUCUCUCCUUCCAUUCUGAAUGACAGCUUGCUGGAUAAAGAAUUCCUGGCUGCAUAUUUUUUUGAUUCAGCAUACUGAAUAUAUCUUGCCUCUUCUUUCUGGCCUGCCAAAUUUCUGUGGAUAGGUCUGCUGCAAACCUGAUCUGUCUUUCCUUGUAGGUUAGGGACUUUUCUUCCUUGCUGCUUUUAUGAUUCUCUCCUUGCCUAAACAUUUUGUGAAUUUGACUAUGAUGUGCCUUGUUGAUGGUCGGUUUUUGUUGAAUCUAAUGGGAGUCCUCUGUGCUUCCUGGAUUUUGAUGUCUGUGUCUUUCCCCAGGUUGGGAACGUUUUCCACUAUGAUUUGCUCACAUAACCCUUCUACCCCUAUUUCUCUCUCUUCCUCUUCUCGGACCCCUAUAUUUGAUGUUGUUCCUUUUUAAUGAGUCACUGAUUUCUCUAAUUCUUAAAUCAUGCUCUUUUGCCUUAAUCUCCUUCUCUUUUUCUGCUUCAUUAUUCUCUAUAAGUUUGUCCUCUAUAUUGCUGAUUCUCUGUUCUGCCUCAUCCAUCUUUGCUGCUGCUACAUCCAUCUGUGAUUACAGCUCAGUUAUAACAUUUUUAAUUUCAUUCUGGCUAUUUUUUGCAUCUUUUAUCUCUGCAGAAAAGGAUUCUAAAGUAUUUUCAACUCCAGCUAGUAUUCUUAUUAUCGUGAUUCUAAAUUCUGGUUCAGACAUCUUGCUUGUAUCUGUGAUGGUUCAAUCUCUGGCUGUAGUUUCUUAGUGCUCUUUCUUUUGGGGUGAAUUCCUUUGUUUUGUCAUUUUGAAGGGAGAAAAGGAAUUAAUGAGGUAGAAAAAUUAAAAUUAAAAAAUUAAAAUUAAAAAGUAUUAAAAUUAUACAAUUAAACACACACACACCCACACACAAAUAGAAUAAAUGAUGCCAGAUCCUAGGUAUGUUUUGUUCUGGGUGUUGAAAGUGGUUUCACAGAUUAGAAGAAAAAAAGGGGGGGAAGAAAAAAAAAAGGAAAUUGUUUGAGAAUUUGAAAAAAUGAAUACACUGAAUUAGAGUAAAAUGAGAUGAUCGAGGUAAAAUAGAAUUUGAAAAAAUAUAUACAGAAGUAAAGAAUAUGGUAGAAAAAAAAUGAAGAAAAAUAUUUUUAUCAAAAAUUAAAAAUGAAUUUUUCUUUUUAUAUAUUCAAGAAAAAGAAAAGAAACGAAAAAGAGAAAAAAGGAGAAAAAAGAAAAAAAAGGAAAUCGUUUGAAAAUUUGAAAAAGUGAAUACACUGUAGUAGACUAAAAUAAAAUGGUGGAAGUCAAAUAGAAUUUGAAAAAAAUUUACAUAAAAGAAAAAAUAUAGUAAAAAAAUUAAAGAAAAAUAUUUUUAAUAGAUAUUGAAGGUAAAAAUGAAGUUUUUCUCUUUUUGCAUUCAAGAAAAAAGAAAUGAAAAAGAGGAAAAAAGAAAAGAAAGAAAAACGCGAUUGAAAAUUUGAAAAGAAAAAGAAGUGUAAAAGAGAAAAAAAAGAAAGAAAAUUGAAUGAUGGACCUGCUAACAGAUUGAAUUAGGACUGAAAUUACUUCGUUUUCCUCUAUAAGUCAGUCUAUGUGGUGCUUUAUAGUCCAUAAACUAAGCCGGCAGUGAGACUUGUGUUCUUGAAGAAUGAGGUUGGUCCAGUUGGGCGGGGCUCAGUGUAAUGGCUCCGCUUUCCACUAGAUGGCGCUGCUAGCCUACUUUGGUGGAGCGUUGUGGCACUGGUAGGUGCGUAUGUGCAUGCGCGGGAGUGGUAAAAAUGGUGUCACCCAGCUAUCCAGUCUGUUUUCCAGGAUCAGCAAUCGCACACCCAUCCUCUGUCUUCAGCUUUCGUCCACUCCCUGCUUUUUCACUGUCUGUGACCAGGCCCCAGGCAGUACCUCUCUCCCGAGAUUGGCUGAGAUGCGGCUGCUUUCCCCAGCCUCUUCUGAAGGACUGAGGCUUUGACCGGUUCUGCCCCUCUGCGGGAAUGUCUCAGUGAGCAAUGGCUGAAUGUCAUCUGCACCCUGGAACGCUUGUGGGACCCUGCUGCUGCGGGUGCCCCGAGACUGCGGCCAGGUGCCAGCCCGCCCCAGAAAAAGUUCACGAGAUAGUGUAGCAGCAGCUUUUCAGGGAUUAUGGAAAAUCACAACAUGCAUCUGGCAGGCUUCACUCUUAACGACCUUGUUUAAGCACCAGCGAAUGUGACCACCCUCUGGGGUCUGGUGGGACCAGGUGGCUUCAACAGUCUCUACCAAAUGUCCUUCCAGCAGUGGAACCGCUUUUCUCCGCUUUUCACUCUGAUCCUGGGGAUUCGCCCUUCCCACCAGAGCACUACCAGGUAUGGAGCUGUGGAGUUGCAGACUGCGCUCCCUUUGUUUACAGUCUCAAUAGAAUUUAAACCCUCUCCUUUCUCCUUUCUCCCUUUUUAGUUUAGUCUCUGCAGCUGUUUCCAAUUUUCCACUUUCUCUCCAGCUCCUCUUGGGGAGGGGUGCUUUUCGCGUAUUCUCCACCCCACCCCAGUCUGUCUCCUCUCUCCACUCACAAAAGCACCUUCCUUCCUGCGCCUCUUGCUCCCCAAGUUCACUUCUUCGCGCCGGGUACGUGCUGAAUUCUGUGGUUCAGUUUGUGCAGAUUGUUGUGUUAAUCCUCCAGUUUUUUAGGUGUGUAGGAUGGUUUAGUGUUGGUCUGGCUGUAUUUCAUGGACACGAGACACACAAAAAUCUUCCAUGCUGUUCUGCCAUCUUGGCUCCUCCCCAUAAUUUUCAUUU